GUAGGUGGCAAGCGUUGUCCGGAAUUAUUGGGCGUAAAGCGCGCGCAGGCGGUUCUUUAAGUCUGAUGUGAAAGCCCACGGCUCAACCGUGGAGGGUCAUUGGAAACUGGAGAACUGGAGUACAGAAGAGGAAAGCGGAAUUCCACGUGUAGCGGUGAAAUGCGUAGAGAUGUGGAGGAACACCAGUGGCGAAGGCGGCUUUCUGGUCUGUAACUGACGCUGAGGCGCGAAAGCGUGGGGAGCAAACAGGAUUAGAUACCCUGGUAGUCCACGCCGUAAACGAUGAGUGCUAAGUGUUAGGGGGUUUCCGCCCCCCUUAGUGCUGCAGCUAACGCAUUAAGCACUCCGCCUGGGAGUACGGCCGCAAGGCUG
rnacentral:rRNA from 1 species